rnacentral:rRNA from 1 species
AAUAGAUACCCUGGUAGUCCAUGCCGUAAACGUUGGGAACUAGAUGUAGGGCCUGUUCCACGGGUUCUGUGUCGUAGCUAACGCAUUAAGUUCCCCGCCUGGGGAGUACGGCCGCAAGGCUAAAACUCAAAGGAAUUGACGGGGGCCCGCACAAGCGGCGGAGCAUGCGGAUUAAUUCGAUGCAACGCGAAGAACCUUACCAAGGCUUGACAUAUAGAAGAACACUGCAGAGAUGCAGGACUCUUUGGACACUUCUAUACAGGUGGUGCAUGGUUGUCGUCAGCUCGUGUCGUGAGAUGUUCGGUUAAGUCCGGCAACGAGCGCAACCCUCGUCCUAUGUUGCCAGCACGUGAUGGUGGGAACUCAUGGGAUACUGCCGUGGUCAACACGGAGGAAGGUGGGGAUGACGUCAAAUCAUCAUGCCCCUUAUGUCUUGGGCUUCACGCAUGCUACAAUGGCCGGUACAAAGGGCUGCGAUACCGUAAGGUGGAGCGAAUCCCAAAAGCCGGUCUCAGUUCGGAUUGGGGU